AAUUUUCCUCGAUAAAACGAUAUGAAGAGUUCGAUAAAUGUUCGAUAUAAUGUUCAUGAGCCAAAAGCGGAACGAAAGAGCGCGACUCAUUUAUCCACAUCAUU